AAGAUGGGUUUGUUUUUUUUAUUUUUUUAAUAAUAGGAUAAAUUAUUAUAUUUUAAAUGCAUAAAAAAUAAUAAUUUUUUUAGACACAAAUUUAGCAACAGCUUAAUCUUCUGUAUUGCACAGUGAAAUGACAAUUUUACCGGUGUUGUGUACGUGUUGAUCAUCGCGUAAUGGGAAGGAGGAUGCAAAAGCCGAAGCCAGCUCUCUCUCUCAAAGGUUCCUCUCUUCUUCGUCCUCUGAUCUGACCAAUCACAGUCAGAUUCUCUCUUCCAACACCCACAUCAAAUUUGCCUUUGCUCCAUCUUCUCGAGCUCUCUCUCGCAGCUCAUCCAUUUCUCCAACGAUUGACGAGUGAGAUUUGAAUUCAAGAGCUCCUUCAUCUUCCCCAAUACUGGCGUUUUCGAAAAUUUCACUGUAUUUCGCAGAUUGGAGCCUUCUGUAAUGAUCGGAGCUGUUGGGAUUUUGAAAAAAAUGGGAGUAAUUUUUCUUUUGGGUUUCGUCUCUCUGGUAUUUAUACUGAACCCAAAACCCCAAAAGAUUUGAACUUUCAGGUAAAUUAAUUUACCUUCUUCUGAUUUCUUUUUUUUUUUUUCUUUUUGGAGAAUUUGUUGUUAGAAUUUGAGUAUAUUGUUGCCAUUGUGUUAUGAAUUAGGAGAAAAACAGGGUUUCAGAUGCAAGGGACGAGAUGGUUAUGUGUGUUUUGCGUAAUUCAUGAUACUGUAUGAAGUUUGGGUUGGGUAUGAAUUUACUUGGAAAUGUAUGUAUGCAGGUUGAAUAUACCGUUUGAGAAACUAUGGUUUAUUCCCAUGUUCGUACUCAAAUGCGCUCAACUAAUACCCGCUUUCUCCCUCUCUCUCAUGAUGAUUGCUGUGUAUUACCACGCCCAGAGAAGGUGAGAAUCCAGCCUUCCCAAACUUGGCUUGCCUUAUCGGCUGUGGAGUAUCAACAAAUGCUCUUGAAAUUCCUUAUAAAAUUUGGCAAGGGAAAAGGAAUUGAUAAGGCAGAAAGCUUUAGAGAAAGCUAGAAAGCUUCAGGUUACAUACAUAUGGUUUUUACGAAGUAAGAGUUUCUAAUGAUGGGAAUUAUCAGGUAUCUGCAAUAAAGAGAAUGCAAAGUAAUAGGUUUGUCAUCUUUUGAUUUAUAUUAAUUUCUUAGGUAUCUGCAAUAAUGAGAAUGCAAAGUAACAGUUCCCAUUUCUUAUUGUUUCGCAAAUUAAUAAUUUGAUUAUGUUUUAUUGUGUUAAUGUGUAGCAUAGUACACUGAGAGUGAAGAAUGAAUAAGGGUAAAGAUUUUCAAGCUAUCCAAGGGCUUUACGGCCUUAGUAUAACAAAAUGUUUCGACAUUUAAACUUUUUUUUCCUAUUUACUUUUAUAUUUUUUUGGCCUCUCGAAUAUAUUUUGUGCAUUAGUUUUAAAUUUUGGCUGUAAUCUCAUUAGUUUGAUUCUAAUUCAAUAAAUUUGUGUAACAUACAGUUUUCUUUUAGAAAAAGAAUUGACCUUUGAAGAAAA